AUCCCCAAGAACUCUUCUUCUUCAAGACUUCCAAAUCUCUCUUCCCUUUUAAAGCCUUUCCCUUCCCUCUUCAAGUGUUCAAACUCUUCUUCCCACUUGGAUUCGAGCAAAGGAGGAGAUUCAAAUCUAGGGUUUCGGCUAUUUGGACCUUUCUUCCUCCUUCAAGUUUCAAGAACUUGGGUUUCCGAUGCCUCCACGCCGAUCUCGACUUCCUAGGAGUCGAUCCCAUUCGCAGCCUAGCGAGGAAGAAGUUCCCGCAGCAUCCUCCCCUCCAGCAGCUUCCUUUUUUGGGGUCGAGUUCCCCGCGGGCAGCCUUCCUCCUCAUGCUAAU